CUUUACUUACAUCUUGUAUAUAUAUUAUCAAGAAUAAUAAUAUAUACCAAUAAUAUCACCAAAAAUGAAUGUAAAAAUGUUAUUAAAUACUUCAUACAUUUCCUUAUCAAAGGCACGAUACGUCGGAUCAGUUACUAGAGUGAAAGAUUUCGCUUCGAACGAGUAUACUUUUUGCGACAUCGUACAACUCCUCACCGAGUCAUAGACGAGAUGUCGAGACGAAAAGGGGAAUCGGGGUAUUCUUACCGAGACUUUACUGUUGGAGGCGGGGCUGUGAAGAGAACUGGACAAGGGUGCCAUUGGCAAGUAAAUCCCGGCAGCGCUGGAAUCGUUGGGCAAACAACGCCGGUCCCGUGGGCUCGGUCCACCGACGCUCGAGGACGAGGAAACGCUCAAUUGAUCCGACUCCCUGCCACCCCCUGGGCGAUGUCCCUUCCGCCGGAGAAAGAUCAUCCCCUGGGCGAACGUUUUCGUAAGGGCUACCCAAUGAAUCGUUCCCCUGGACCGGAAUGGGUGGCAAGUUCUCGCUGUCUGCGUCGCUUUCCACACCAGAGGAAGACCUGUGCCCUGUUCCCAAAGUUUCAUCAGUGAAUUUUAUUCAUUUUACAGUACGCUUUAGUUAAAACUUUAUGAGUUACAGAAACGAUUUACUAAUGAGUCAAAAUAACCCAACUAAUCUUUGUUAUACGCUAAUAAAUAAUUU
rnacentral:misc_RNA from 1 species